rnacentral:rRNA from 1 species
GAAUAUUGGGCAAUGGAGGCAACUCUGACCCAGCCAUGCCGCGUGGAGGAUGAAGGCCCUCUGGGUUGUAAACUUCUUUUACUUGGGACGAAACCUUUUUAUUCUUAGAAAGUUGACGGUACCAAGGGAAUAAGCACCGGCUAACUCCGUGCCAGCAGCCGCGGUAAUACGGAGGGUGCAAGCGUUAUCCGGAUUCACUGGGUUUAAAGGGUGCGUAGGCGGGCAGGGAAGUCCGUGGUGAAAUCUCCGAGCUUAACUCGGAAACUGCCGUGGAUACUCUCUGUCUUGAAUACUGUGAAGGUGAGCGGAAUAUGUCAUGUAGCGGUGAAAUGCUUAGAUAUGACAUAGAACACCAAUUGCGAAGGCAGCUCACUGCGCAGUUUAUUGACGCUGAGGCACGAAAGCGUGGGGAUCAAACAGG